rnacentral:rRNA from 1 species
GUGUCAGCAGCCGCGGUAAGACGAACCGUGCGAACGUUGUUCGGAUUCACUGGGCUUAAAGGGCGCGUAGGCGGGCUCGCAAGUCGGGGGUGAAAUACUUCAGCUCAACUGGAGAACAGCCUUCGAUACUGCGAGUCUCGAGGGAGGUAGGGGCAUGCGGAACUUCCGGUGGAGCGGUGAAAUGCGUAGAUAUCGGAAGGAACGCCGGUGGCGAAAGCGGCGUGCUGGACCUCUUCUGACGCUGAGGCGCGAAAGCCAGGGGAGCGAACGGGAUUAGAUACCCCGGUAGUCCUGGCCCUAAACGAUGGGUACUAGAUUGUAGACUGACAUGGGUUUACAGUCGAAGCAAAAGUGAUAAGUACCCCGCCUGGGGAGUAUGGUCGCAAGGCUGAA